UACGUAGGGGCCUAGCGUUGUCCGGAAUUAUUGGGCGUAAAGAGCUCGUAGGUGGUUCGAGAAGUCGGAUGUGAAAUCUCCACGCUUAACGUGGAGGGGCCAUUCGAAACUGCUGUGACUUGAGUCCGGUAGGGGAGUGUGGAAUUCCCGGUGUAGCGGUGAAAUGCGCAGAUAUCGGGAGGAACACCAGUAGCGAAGGCGGCACUCUGGGCCGGUACUGACACUGAGGAGCGAAAGCGUGGGAGCGAACAGG
rnacentral:rRNA from 1 species